AGUGAACGCUGGCGGUAGGCCUAACACAUGCAAGUCGAACGGAAGCACAGUAAGAGCUUGCUCUUACGGGUGGCGAGUGGCGGACGGGUGAGGAGUACAUCGGAAUCUACUUUUUCGUGGGGGACAACGGAGGGCAACUUACGCUAAUACCGCAUACGAUCUACGGGAGAAAGCAGUGGAUAAUCGGAGCUUGCGCGAUUGUAAGAGCCGAUGCCGGAUUAGCUAGUUGGCAGGGUAAAGGCACACCAAGGCGACGAUCCGUAGCGGGUCUGAGAGGAUGAUCAGCCACACUGGAACUGAGACACGGUCCAGACUCCUACGGGAGGCAGCAGUAGGGAAUAUUGCGCAAUGGGCGCAAGCCUGAUCGAGCCAUGCCGCGUGAGUGAUGAAGGCCUUCGGAUUGUAAAGCCCUUUUAUUAGGAAAGAAAAACUGCAGAAUUAUACCCCGCUGUUCUGACGGUACCCAAAGAGAAAGCACCGGCUAACUUCGUG
rnacentral:rRNA from 1 species